CUCUUUGAAAUUACAAACUCCAGUUUGUGGACAAAGUCCUGUCUACUUUAGUAUAUGGAUCUCCGACCACUGACCAAACUCCAAAUGAAACAACAGCCUAUUUAUACUUUCUCAGACUCACUGUUAUGCUUAUUCUCAGUCUGUACUAUUGGUGAACUUUGAGGAGCAGAGAAAAUUGCUGCAUGGCAAUUCACCUUUUGGAAACUCGGAUCUAAUGCAUCUGACUGAAGUAUUACAGAAAAAAAAAAUGUAGAACUGGGAAACUGUUCAUGGCCCAUCAUACAAAAGUGAGUGGGAGCCAGGACUUGGCACAAGAGGUGGGAGAUUUCAAAAAGAGGACAACUCUUUCCACCCAGAAUCAAUCUACUUGAAGAGUUAGAGUCUUCCACUGGAAAGUUGAAUUAGGCUGAAUUACUCUUUCUGAUCAACAUGGAUACGAUGGGCAGAAUGGCCUCCUGCUGUGUGGACGUGGGCACUGCUGCCUGAACCAACAAUGAUUCCACAUCUGUAGUUGCUGUCCACUGAAGGGCAAAGUGAACUGGUUUCUUGAAAUGUUGCAGUUAAUGUGAUAAGUCUACCAUCACAAUGUAGUUAGGAUGCAAAUUCCAGGAUUUUCACUCAGUGUUGAUGAAGUGACCAUGUUAUCUCCUAGCUGGGUAGUAUGUGACCUGGAAAUAGCGCUCCAAUACACAUUGGUAGUCAUGGAAGGUGCUAAAAACAAAGCUCAUGUGACUUGUUGUAAUGCCUCCUGUAGAUGGUACACACUAUCAACUAUUGUAUGGAGGUGUAAAGAGAAUAGAACUUUAAGCCACUGGAUGUUUUUAUAUUCAUUUUUGGGCAAUUCUCCCAAUCAAAAUUGAGUUUAAAGUUGGUUGAAAUUUUAAAAACAGAUUGAGUUUUGUUAGAGAUGUGAAUCAAGGGCUAAAGAACCAAAUAAUACUUCGACGUAACAAUUUUUGUUUAGUCAUAGGAAGUCACGAAAUGCAAUUUUGGAGGCAGAGUACAGCAUACAUUAACUUAUGUGAUCAAGAACAAAUUUCUCUACACAUUCUAACUGAAUAGUGGAAUAGCCAGGUGUGGAUGAAUAGCCUUUAUGAUUAUCUGUACAUGAUUUUCCCUGUUAAGCAAAGGAACUGUGACACUAUGUCCAACCUGUUCAAAUGUGGAAAGUUUAUCAAUACGUUAAAUGUAUUUACAAUAUCAAUCUAUAAUACUUUCCAAAUCUUCUGAGAGAAGUACAAAUAAACCUACUUUCAGAUAAACCUUGG